rfam:Lupinus angustifolius cultivar Tanjil chromosome LG02, whole genome shotgun sequence.
AUACUUACCUGGACAGGGUCAAUGGAUGAUCAAGAAGGUCUAUGGCCUAGGGUAGUGACCUCCAUUGCACUUAGGAGGGGUGCUAUCCUAAGGUCUACCCAAGUGGUGGAGCCUAUGUCAUAAUUUGUGGCAGUGGGGGCCUGCGUUCGCGCGGCCCCUCC